rnacentral:rRNA from 1 species
UACGUAAGGCCCGAGCGUUGUCCGGUUUCAUUGGGCGUAAAGGGUACGUAGGCGGUCUAGUGAGUUAGAAGUGAAAGGCAAUAGCUCAACUAUUGUAAGCUUUUAAAACUGCUAGACUUGAGAGAGUGAAGGGAAAGUGGAAUUCCUAGUGUAGCGGUGAAAUGCGCAGAUAUUAGGAGGAAUACCAGUGGCGAAGGCGACUUUCUGGCAAUCAUCAGACGCUGAGGUACGAAAGCGUGGGUAGCAAACAGG